GGGGAAGAACGGCACUUGGUCUUGGAGCGUUGCUCAGAUACAUCAAUACCUUCCAUUCUCAUUAGUGAUCUCCUUUGGCAGUAUGACGAACUCCAGUCUCCAAGGACUGUAGAUGUGAUAUAUAGAAGAAAAGAAAGUUCAGAAGGGUCAAAGGUAGAAGACACACCAAUACCAAUCAUUAACCUUUCGCUUGAGGAGAGGGAAGAAGCUUAUAUGGCUGCCCGGAAACGGAUUUUUUCUGUUGAUCAAGGCGAGACUAGACAAUGUAUGAAGGAUAGACCUCAAAAAGAUCCUACGGUUGCUCGUCGUAUGAUUGCACAUGCACUUGGCCAAAGAACCAGGCCAGC
rnacentral:misc_RNA from 1 species